GACGAACGCUGGCGGCGCGCUUAACACAUGCCAGUCGAACGGAAAGGCCUGCUUUCCCUUGUGGAUUGCGGGUACUCGAGUGGCGAACGGGUGAGUAACACGUGAGUGAUCUGCCCCCAACUUGGGUAUAAGCCUGGGAAACUGGGUCUAAUUCCCGAUAGGACUGCAGGGUGGUGCCUGUGGUGGAAAACGAUUUUCUAGUGGUUGGGGAUGAGCUCGCGGCCUAUCAGCUUGUUGGUGGGGUAAUGGCCUACCAAGGCGGCGACGGGUAGCCGGCCUGGGAGGGUGGACGGGCACAUUGGGACUGCGAUACGGCCCAGACUCCUACGGGAGGCAGCAGUGGGGAAUAUUGCGCAAUGGGCGGAAGCCUGAUGCAGCGACGCCGCGUGGGGGAUGACGGCCUUCGGGUUGUAAACUCCUUUCGACCGCGAGGAAGCCACCUGGUUGGAAGGGUGGUGACGGUAGUGGUAGAAGAAGCACCGGCUAACUACGUG
rnacentral:rRNA from 1 species